GCCUGGGUGGCUCAAUUGGUUAAGCGUCUGACUUCAGCUCAGGUCAUGAUCUCAUGGUUCGUGGGUUCGAGUCCCUCAUCGGGCU
rnacentral:tRNA from 1 species